GGGAUGUGAUGAGUGGUCAUCGCUCGCUUAAAGUCUGCGAGAUGGGUGUCCGCCCCAAAGCCUGGUUACGACAAUCUGGGCACUCCCAUCUUUACCGAUCUGAUCCC
rfam:Citrus sinensis cultivar Ridge Pineapple sweet orange scaffold00002_contig_541, whole genome shotgun sequence.